rnacentral:rRNA from 1 species
CCACACCGUAAACGAUGGAUACUAGGUGUAGGGUGUGAUAAACAUUCUGUGCCGUCGCAAACGCAAUAAGUAUCCCACCUGGGGAGUACGGCCGCAAGGUUGAAACUCAAAGGAAUUGACGGGGGCCCGCACAAGCAGUGGAGUAUGUGGUUUAAUUCGAUGCAACGCGAAGAACCUUACCAGGGCUUGACAUAUAGAGGAAUAUGCUAGAGAUAGUAUAGCUCUUCGGAGUCUCUAUACAGGUGGUGCAUGGUUGU